rnacentral:rRNA from 1 species
GACGAACGCUGGCGGCGUGCCUAAUACAUGCAAGUCGAACGCAGUGGGGACGGGUGAGUAACACGUGGGUAACCUCCCAUCAGAGGGGAUAACACUUGGAAACAGGUGCUAAGCCGAUACUGAUGGAUGAACCCGCGGUGCAUUAGCUAGUGGGGGAGGUAACGGCGCACCAAGGCCACGAAGCAUGGCCGACCUGAGAGGUUGAUCGGCCACACUGGGAUUGAGACACGGCCCAUCCUCCUACGGGAGGCUGCAGUAGGGAAUCUUCGGCAAUGGACGAAAGUCUGACCGAGCAACGCCGCGUGAGUGAAGAAGGUUUUCGGAUCGUAAAACGCUGUUGUUAGAGAAGCGGUAUCUAACCAGAAAGCCACGGCUAACUCCGUGCCAGCAGCCGCGGUAAUAC